UCCGGUUUGUCACCGGCAGUCCCAUUAGAGUGCCCAACUUAAUGUGGCAACUAAUGGCAAGGGUUGCGCUCGUUGCGGGACUUAACCCAACAUCUCACGACACGAGCUGACGACAGCCAUGCAGCACCUGUGUCCAGGUUCCCUUUCGGGCACCCCUCCAUCUCUGGAGGGUUCCUGGCAUGUCAAGGGUAGGUAAGGUGGGGAUGACGUUGACGUCAUAACC
rnacentral:misc_RNA from 1 species